rnacentral:tRNA from 1 species
GGGCCAGUAACUCAGUGGUAGAGUAUCUGCCUUUUAAGCAGAGAGUCGAUGGUUCGAAUCCAUCCUGGCUCACCA